rnacentral:rRNA from 1 species
GACGAACGCUGGCGGCGUGCUUAACACAUGCAAGUCGAGCGGUAAGGCCCUUCGGGGUACACGAGCGGCGAACGGGUGAGUAACACGUGGGUGAUCUGCCCUGUACUUCGGGAUAAGCCUGGGAAACUGGGUCUAAUACCGGAUAUGACCUUCGGAUGCAUGACCGAGGGUGGAAAGAUUUAUCGGUACAGGAUGGGCCCGCGGCCUAUCAGCUUGUUGGUGGGGUAAUGGCCUACCAAGGCGACGACGGGUAGCCGGCCUGAGAGGGCGACCGGCCACACUGGGACUGAGACACGGCCCAGACUCCUACGGGAGGCAGCAGUGGGGAAUAUUGCACAAUGGGCGAAAGCCUGAUGCAGCGACGCCGCGUGAGGGAUGACGGCCUUCGGGUUGUAAACCUCUUUCGACAGGGACGAAGCGCAAGUGACGGUACCUGUAGAAGAAGCACCGGCCAACUACGUGCCAGCAGCCGCAGUAAAAC